AUAACCUUAUCAUGGGCUCCAAAUACUUUAUUUGAGUUCCUCAUGUUCCAUAAUGUCUCUGAGAAUUUUCUCCAAAUUUUCAGAGCUUUCGGAAUAUUUUUCACAGUUUAAAUAAUAAAUCUAGACUUUUCUGGAAUUAUUUUAUCCAUGAAAUUAAAUAAUUCCGAAAAUAAUAAAUCCUUCUUUUUACCUCAACGCUCAGCCCAUGAUCUCAAAGGCCAAUAUAUUUAUUUACUAGUGGGCUUAAAUAAUUAAUCAGGCCUAUUAGUAAAGUUGGAGGAUGCAACAUUGAUUAGUACCAUAUCGCCAGUUAACGUGAAGGUGGGAAGUUUUUCUCCCUAUAGAUAUGUACCAACCCUUAGGAGAAGCAUCCAAAAAAAAACUACGGAGUCCAUAAUUAAAAUCUCUAGGCAGUAAACUAGAUUUUCUCUCUUUCUUCUACGCCGUCUCCAGCGACUUUGUCUGCGCCCACUUUCGUGCCUCUAUGCCGCGCAGCCAAAUUCGUCGUCUAGCGUAUCCCAUUCGUGGGCAACUACCAUGGGACUCUUCUUGGAUGAACUUGCCAUCACAGGAAGCACCAUGGAUGGUCGACGCAUUGCCUCAAGUGCAGAUGAAUAUGCAUAUCUACACAUAUGCAUGGUCACGUCGAUGAUCUGCUACUGGAGAAGCUGCUCAUGUGAAACCUGAACUCGUCACGCUCUACAUCAACGAUGGUCAGCUGGUCAUCCGGCCUCGCUGCUUCUCGGCCAUCGUCGGUGAGAUAUACGUGUGACCUAGAAGCAGUUCUUUGAAGGUUUGAACUUGAAGAAGGAUCUAAGCUCAAGGCAAGUAUAGCAUUUGGAUUUUAUUUCUGUGACCAUGAUCCUGUGACUAGAUU